rnacentral:rRNA from 1 species
ACUCCUACGGGAGGCAGCAGUGGGGAAUCUUGGACAAUGGGGGCAACCCUGAUCCAGCCAUGCCGCGUGAGUGAUGAAGGCCCUAGGGUCGUAAAGCUCUUUCGCCUGUGAAGAUAAUGACUGUAGCAGGUAAAGAAACCCGCUACUCCGUGCCAGCAGCCGCGGUAAUACGGAGGGGUUAGCGUUGUUCGGAAUUACUGGGCGUAAAGCGCAUGCAGGCGGCCUGUUAAGUCAGAUGUGAAAGCCCGGGGCUUAACCUCGGAAUUGCAUUUGAAACUGGCAGGCUAGAGUCUUGUAGAGGGGGGUAGAAUUUCAGGUGUAGCGGUGAAAUGCGUAGAGAUCUGAAGGAAUACCAGUGGCGAAGGCGGCCCCCUGACC